AUCUGAAUCAUACGGACAAUUAAAGGAAUCAUGGUAAAGACGAUAGCAAGUAUCUUGCUUCUUUUCAUGUGUUUCGGGGCAGCGAGUGCACAAUGCAGUUUUCCAUGUUUCCGCAUUGAUGUAGGAACUUGGGUUAAUGACAGAGUAACCUUAGAAUUUUCGUGUUCAAAUACGUCAGUUUUAAUAGUGAAUGGUAUGGAGGAAAGGUCAUGUUACGCAAGACGUGGACCAUUUCUUGUAUCAAGAUCGGGAAAUACAUACAGGUGCUUAAAAUAUGCUGCUUAUAACAGUAGAGCCAGCAUAUCCCUUAUCUAUGCUCCCGAACCUAAGACAUUUUUUACAGAGCCAUCCAUUUGUGACGUUUGUACAGGAAGUUUUUCACCAUUAGUUGC